rnacentral:misc_RNA from 1 species
UACGGAGGGUGCAAGCGUUAAUCGGAAUUACUGGUCGUAAAGCGCGCGUCGGUGGCUUACUAAGCCGGUGGUGAAAGCCCCGGGCUCAACCUGGGAACGGCAUCCGGAACUGUCAAGCUAGAGUGCAGGAGAGGAAGGUAGAAUUCCCGGUGUAGCGGUGAAAUGCGUAGAGGUCGGGAGGAAUACCAGUGGCGAAGGCGGCCUUCUGGACUGACACUGACACUGAGGUGCGAAAGCGUGGGUAGCAAACAGG